rnacentral:rRNA from 1 species
CCCUUAGAUGUUCUGGGCCGCACGCGCGCUACACUGACGAAUGCAACGAGCUUAUAACCUUGGCCGAAAGGUCUGGGUAAUCUCCAAAUUUCGUCGUGAUGGGGAUAGAUUAUUGCAAUUAUUAAUCUUCAACGAGGAAUGCCUAGUAAGCGCAAGUCAUCAGCUUGCGUUGAUUACGUCCCUGCCCUUUGUACACACCGCCCGUCGCACCUACCGAUUGAAUGGUCCGGUGAAGCCUCGGGAUUGUGGCUGGUUUCCUUUAUUGGAGGUCGGUCGCGAGAACUUGUCUAAACCUUAUCAUUUAGAGGAAGGUGAAGUCGUAACA